rnacentral:rRNA from 1 species
CCAGACUCCUACGAGAGGCAGCAGUGGGGAAUAUUGCACAAUGGGGGAAACCCUGAUGCAGCGACGCCGCGUGAGUGAAGAAGUAUCUCGGUACGUAAAGCUCUAUCAGCAGGGAAGAAAAUGACGGUACCUGACUAAGAAGCCCCGGCUAACUACGUGCCAGCAGCCGCGGUAAUACGUAAGGGGCAAGCGUUAUCCGGAUUUACUGGGUGUAAAGGGAGCGUAGACGGCAGCACAAGUCUGGAGUGAAAUCCCGGGGCUUAACCCCGGAACUGCUUUGGAAACUGUGCGGCUGGAGUGCAGGAGGGGUAAGCGGAAUUCCUAGUGUAGCGGUGAAAUGCGUAGAUAUUAGGAGGAACACCAGUGGCGAAGGCGGCCUGCUGGACGGUGACUGACGCUGAGGCUCGAAAGCGUGGGGAGCAAACAGGAUUAGAUACCCGUGUAA